CGGCUGGUGAUCGCCGCUGUCCCUCCUCCCGGCUACCUACUCCCGGGCGUCUUCAUCAUCCCCCGCCAUCGGGACUCCCAGGCGAUGCCUGCCUUUUCCUGAGCCCGGGUCGGGGUCGUGAGGACUCUGUGGCGGGAGGCCGGGCCUACGCGUGCUGCUUCCUUGCGAGGGACAGUCGAGAGUGUUUGGAGCAUUUUCCCCGGAGAAGACUGGGCGGCCAUAGGGUGACUCACGCAGUCCUUCUGAGGGUCUCGUUCGGAAGAGAAGAGGGGUUUCUCCUGCGAGACCUCGAGGGACCCCGCUGGGGAUUGGAUCGUGAGUGGAAGUCGUGGCCAUGUGGACGGUCCCGCGAAGUAGGACUGUCACAGCAGCUGUUCUGUGAGAUGCCCCGUCUAGGAGCAGCUACUGAAAGCUUCAGGCCUGCUGUCAGGAAGCGCUUCUCUGGGAGUGUCAUGUUUCCACAGUCUUGUGAAUGAGGCACUGUCUGCCCUUUGUCCCAGCUCCACUCUGUGUUCCUGCCCCAGCACGUGGCACAAGGGUGUCUGCCGUACCUUGGAGUUUCAGAAGCAGCAAUCCCAGGAUGCCAGAGCUACAAAGGCCUGAGGAGAUCCCCUCAGUGGAUGUCAGGCUAUUCCUGUGGAACCUGUGCAGGGAGAUGAGGAUGUGGAUACUGAGAAGCAGGGCGAGCCCGUGUUGACACACAUAGUGAGGAGUGGAGCAGAAUUUGAACCCAGAUGUUGGCACCUUAAUUGUCUGAGCAGGUUUGGACACUACGUGCUCUGCUUCCAGAAUGAGGAGCCUCACUGUGGAUCGGGACCCAGGCCCCUCCAGCAUCUUCUGAAUGAAAAAUAAGGAAUACUUAAUAAAUAAUGGCUUUAAAUGUGUGAUUCA